UAAUACGGAGGGGGCAAGCGUUAUUCGGAUUUACUGGGCGUAAAGCGCACGUAGGUGGCAUGGUAAGUCACAGGUGAAAGCCCUCGGCUCAACCGAGGAACUGCCUGUGAAACUGCCUUGCUUGAGUCCGGGAGGGGGGAGCGGAAUUCCCAGUGUAGCGGUGAAAUGCGUAGAUACUGGGAAGAACACCGGUGGCGAAGGCGGCUCCCUGGACCGGUACUGACACUGAGGUGCGAAAGCGUGGGUAGCAAACAGGAUUAGAUACCCUGGUAGUCCACGCCGUAAACGAUGGGCACUAGGUGCAGCGGGUGUCGACCCCUGCUGUGCCGUAGUUAACGCAUUAAGUGCCCCGCCUGGGGACUACGGUCGCAAGGCUG
rnacentral:rRNA from 1 species